rnacentral:piRNA from 1 species
GCUGCAGAAUGCGAGGGGCAAUGGCUUC